rnacentral:rRNA from 1 species
UACGGAGGGUGCAAGCGUUAUCCGGAUUCACUGGGUUUAAAGGGUGUGUAGGCGGGCUUGUAAGUCAGGGGUGAAAUCCUACAGCUUAACUGUAGAACUGCCUUUGAUACUAUGAGUCUUGAAUAUUGUUGAGGUAGGCGGAAUACAUCAUGUAGCGGUGAAAUGCUUAGAUAUGAUGUAGAACACCGAUUGCGAAGGCAGCUUACUAAGCAAAUAUUGACGCUGAGGCACGAAAGCGUGGGGAUCAAACAGG